UCCCUGGUGGUCCAGUGGUUAAGACUCUGAACUCCCAGUUAGGGGGCCCAGGUUCAAUCCCUAGUUAGGGAA
rnacentral:tRNA from 1 species